rnacentral:lncRNA from 1 species
CUGAAUAAUAAAGUACAGUGACAAAGAUUUUUCCAAAUGAACUCUCAAUGCAAGGUAUUCCAUUGCAUUGUUCUUCUGUAGAGACUGCCAGUUUAUUUCUUGCACUCUUUAUCUCACAUUCUUCUAAGCACAUGCUGUUACCUUUCUUUGUGCUGCUUCAUAUUCCCAUUAUUGCUUCUUCACUCAGUCAGGCCAUUCCAACAUACACAUUGCACCUGCUUGGAUAUCUUUAAAACUACCUCUGCAAAUCCCUAAAUCCAUUACAGAUGCAAACGAGAGCCUCGCAGUGAGACAGUCUGUCUUUUGGACACCAGCUUGUCAUCAGAAAUCUCACUAUCACUUCUUCACCUGCUCAUGUGGUACCCAGCUGUGCCUUGCUGGCCCUGCUUUUGCCUGGAGUGUGAGAUUUGCUGUUCAGAGUGAAGGGGUUGAUUUUCACCGACUGUAAUGUUUUAAGCUGACGUGAUAAACUCUUUCUCUAAUGGAAAACCAGUUAAAAAGCAGACCUGGGAGCAGUAAUACCAGCUUGUCACCCAACACUGCUUGCCUUGAGACAUUUAUUGACCAUGUGUCCAAGGGGGAUCCCAUCAACAGCCCAAGAGAGAAAUGCUGUUCAGAAAAAUCACAGGAUGAUGCUUUGCAGCUCUCACUUGUUCUGAGGACACCCAUGAUCUCCAUCUGUUUUCUCAGGUAUUUUCAGGUGGAGAGGGAUAAAUUGGCACAAGCUGUUGUAUGG